GAUGAACGCUGGCGGCGUGCUUAACACAUGCAAGUCGAACGGAAAGGCUCCUGCUUUCAGGGGUACUCGAGUGGCGAACGGGUGAGUAACACGUGAGUGAUCUGCCCUGCACUUCGGGAUAAGCCUGGGAAACUGGGUCUAAUACCGGAUAGGACCAUGUUUUGGAUGCCAUUGUGGAAAGUUUUUCGGUGUGGGAUGAGCUCGCGGCUUAUCAGCUUGUUGGUGGGGUGAUGGCCUACCAAGGCGUCGACGGGUAGCCGGCCUGAGAGGGUGUACGGCCACAUUGGGACUGAGAUACGGCCCAGACUCCUACGGGAGGCAGCAGUGGGGAAUAUUGCACAAUGGGCGCAAGCCUGAUGCAGCGACGCCGCGUGGGGGAUGACGGCCUUCGGGUUGUAAACUCCUUUCGCUAGGGACGAAGCGCAAGUGACGGUACCUGGAGAAGAAGCACCGGCUAACUACGUG
rnacentral:rRNA from 1 species